rnacentral:lncRNA from 7 species
GGGCAAAGGGGUAGAGGGAGAAGUAACCCCGGCUAAAGUUUGUACAAUUAGAACCCAUCCGCUUAAAGUAGACUUUGUGCUUUCGGCUUCUCCUUUCCCUUCGCUGCGAGGAUGUGUGUUGUAAGAGGAGCAAUUUGCCCACUGGCCUGGUCUGUCCUUCCUCCCACUGUCCUGGAGACCAAGAAGGAGACUGGUGAAUUGUCCCCUCUUUUCCCAUCUGAACCUCUGGAGCUGUACCUCGUAGGAUUUUUGCAAUGGAAGAAUCUCAGAUGACUCUUCUUCGCAUUUAAAUGAAAAGAGUGCUUGGAGAAUGUGCAUUCUGGUCUUCACGUUCUUCCUGAAGAUUUGAUUAAAGUUACACGAUUGCAGAAAUCAUGUGUUAGACGCUGGGCAAAUAAACAGGGCUGGCUGGAAGCCUGCUCAGCUGCCUUAUGGCAACGGCUAUGUUCAGUAGUGGAGGAAGACACACGAAGGCUCAAACCGCAGUGGUGUUUCUGAGUUGAUCCCUUCUCUAAUUUGUCCUUCCUGUAUCCUUGCAGCCCUCUUUGUGCCUGCCAUCAUGUGGAAGGUGCUUCAGAAGAGCUAGUAUUUAUGUUAUCCUGAGGCCCUAACCACCCAAAUCCCCCCCAUUGCUGAGUUCUACUACCCACUUUCUGGGUGAAGUGGAGCAACCUUUUUUGCACUACAAAUGAAGUAUCCAUAAGGACCAAAGUCGGGGUGGGAUUUUCCAGCAAAGAACAUGCUUCUCAUGUAUAGAAGAGAGCACAGAGACUUCUGUUCUGUGAGAUAAUUUUUCCUGGUACAUGGUGUAGAGUCAAGGCCGAUACUUCUCAGUGCUGGUGCUGGAUUUCCACUAAUUUUGCAUCAGGGUCUUCCUCUGAAUCCCCCGUGGGAGCUGUCUGGUACUGCUUAAAGGGAUGGUGUUUUUUGUAAUUAUUUAAUGAAUGUUCCAGGUUUUUAUCCUGUGCUUGUUAAACCUUCAUUCCAGUGAAAGUGUAAUCCCAUAUUACUGAAUUUGGAUAAAAAGUGAUCGAGAAUAAACAUUAAUUCCUC